rnacentral:rRNA from 1 species
GGUAAGGUGAUAUGAACCGUUAUAACCGGCGAUUUCCGAAUGGGGAAACCCAGUGUGAUUCGUCACACUAUCAUUAACUGAAUCCAUAGGUUAAUGAGGCGAACCGGGGGAACUGAAACAUCUAAGUACCCCGAGGAAAAGAAAUCAACCGAGAUUCCCCCAGUAGCGGCGAGCGAACGGGGAGGAGCCCAGAGCCUGAAUCAGCAUGUGUGUUAGUGGAAGCGUCUGGAAAGGCGCGCGAUACAGGGUGACAGCCCCGUACACAAAAGCGCAUGUGCUGUGAGCUCGAUGAGUAGGGCGGGACACGUGGUAUCCUGUCUGAAUAUGGGGGGACCAUCCUCCAAGGCUAAAUACUCCUGACUGACCGAUAGUGAACCAGUACCGUGAGGGAAAGGCGAAAAGAACCCCGGCGAGGGGAGUGAAAAAGAACCUGAAACCGUGUACGUACAAGCAGUGGGAGCACCCUUCGGGGUGUGACUGCGUACCUUUUGUAUAAUGGGUCAGCGACUUAUAUUCUGUAGCAAGGUUAACCGUAUAGGGGAGCCGGAGGGAAACCGAGUCUUAAUUGGGCGUUAAGUUGCAGGGUAUAGACCCGAAACCCGGUGAUCUAGCCAUGGGCAGGUUGAAGGUUGGGUAACACUAACUGGAGGACCGAACCGACUAAUGUUGAAAAAUUAGCGGAUGACCUGUGGCUGGGGGUGAAAGGCCAAUCAAACCGGGAGAUAGCUGGUUCUCCCCGAAAGCUAUUUAGGUAGCGCCUCGUGAAUUCAUCUCCGGGGGUAGAGCACUGUUUCGGCUAGGGGGCCAUCCCGGCUUACCAACCCGAUGCAAACUGCGAAUACCGGAGAAUGUUAUCACGGGAGACACACGGCGGGUGCUAACGUCCGUCGUGAAGAGGGAAACAACCCAGACCGCCAGCUAAGGUCCCAAAGUCAUGGUUAAGUGGGAAACGAUGUGGGAAGGCCCAGACAGCCAGGAUGUUGGCUUAGAAGCAGC